rnacentral:rRNA from 1 species
ACCGGCAGCUCAAGUGGUGGCCAUUUUUAUUGGGCCUAAAGCGUUCGUAGCCGGUUUGAUAAGUCUCUGGUGAAAUCCCGCAGCUUAACUGUGGGACUUGCUGGAGAUACUAUUAGACUUGAGGUCGGGAGAGGUUAGGGGUACUCCCAGGAGAGGGGUGAAAUGCACUAAUCUUGGGAGGACCACCGGUGGCGAAGGCGCCUAACUGGAACGAAACUGAGGGUGAGUAACGAAAGUCAGGUGCGCGCACCG